AUGUUUGAAGACAUCACAAGUGACGGUUCCGAUCACUGGAAUCCGACUUCUGGCAUCCCCCUACUUACAUCGCACAUAUCAAGUGCCAUAAAUCUUGAGCAAAUAGAAGAUGUUGAUCUGUUGGAGGAUACCCAAGAGACACCAUCCCUUGUUACGCCAAAGGUUAAUAAAAGGCUUGGAAAGAUCAUUUGUGACACAAACAAGAAACCGAAGACCGCACAAGUCAUGCAGGAGUAGAUUACAGUAAUUGGGGACAUUUGUAAGGAAUCACACUCGACGUUUUAGUCGUUCUUUAAGCACGAUGACACCACCUCUAUUGCAUCUGUUAUGAAAUAAGCAAUUACUUGUGGUGCAAUAGAAGGUAGUGAUGAGCACUUCAUUGCCUAUGAGCUUUUCAUCAAAAGAGAGCAAAGGGAGAUGUUUCUAAGCAUGAGUGCUGAAACUCGUUUGGGUUGGCUCAAGAGGAAGUUCAGCGUCAAGUACGGGAACUAG
rnacentral:rRNA from 1 species